CGUGGGUAACCUGCCCAAGAGAUCGGGAUAACACCUGGAAACAGAUGCUAAUACCGGAUAACAACAGAUGAUGCCUAUCAACUGUUUAAAAGAUGGUUCUGCUAUCACUCUUGGAUGGACCUGCGGUGCAUUAGUUAGUUGGUAGGGUAACGGCCUACCAAGGCGAUGAUGCAUAGCCGAGUUGAGAGACUGAUCGGCCACAUUGGGACUGAGACACGGCCCAAACUCCUACGGGAGGCAGCAGUC
rnacentral:rRNA from 1 species